GACAGAGGGUGCAACCGUUGUUCGGAAUUACUGGGCGUAAAGCGCGUGUAGGCUGCUCUGCAAGUCGGGUGUGAAAGCCCCGGGCUCAACCUGGGAAGUGCACUCGAAACUGCAGAGCUCGAGUCCUGGAGAGGAAGGCGGAAUUCUCGGUGUAGAGGUGAAAUUCGUAGAUAUCGAGAGGAACACCGGUGGCGAAGGCGGCCUUCUGGACAGUGACUGACGCUGAGACGCGAAAGCGUGGGGAGCAAACAGG
rnacentral:rRNA from 1 species